rnacentral:rRNA from 1 species
GACGAACGCUGGCGGCGUGCUUAACACAUGCAAGUCGAACGGUGAAGCGCCUUCCUUUUUGGUGGGUGUGGAUGAGUGGCGAACGGGUGAGCAACACGAGAGUAACCCUCUCCCUUCUUCAGGAUAACCGCAUGAAAGUGUUGAUAAUACAGGAUAUUCUGGGUCUGUCGGAUGAUGGGUCAGGGACAGUUCUUGUGUCGGUUGGGGAUGGGCCCGCGCCGUAUCAGCUUGUUGGUGUGGUGAUGGCCUACCAAGGCGGUGACGGGUAGCCGGCCUGAGAGGGUGGGCGGACCCGGAACGGAGGGAACGCGACGCAGACUACGCUGGGACGCAGCAGUGCAGAGUAGGGCACAGUGGGAGGAAGGCUGGUGCAGCGACGCCGCGUGGGGGAAGGUGUCCUGCGGGUUGUGAUCCGCUUUCGCCAGUGAAGCAGGCCUGCCUCGUUUGUGGGUGGGUUGACGGUAGCUGGUAAAGAAGCGCCGGCUAACUACGUG